AGGCCACGUGGAAGGGUUUUGUGCAGGGAGCCACUGGCCCAGCUACUGGGCCAACCCGGGAAGAGCAGGCAGGCCGUGGGGAGUCAGUGGAGGAGAGGAACUGGACUGUGCACCCUUCAGAAUCCCCCUUUAAAGUGGAGAGCUGGGGACUGACGGUGUGCCUACAAUACGGUGUACCUGCGCUCAGUAAAGAUACCCGCUGUCAGUCCAUCCUCCCACAGUGCCGGCACCUACAAGUGGGGACUGCAGAGCGGGUUUGCCUGGGAAGAGGAAGCAUGAUGUGCAGAGUGGGCGGUGCAGCAGACGUGGGAAAAGCAAGAGAAGAAAAGGGAAAACAGCGCAGAAGGAAAGCCAUGGUCAUGCCGAUGAGUGCGCUGCCCCCUCUACCCGGCUUCAGGAGUCUGAUGACUUUUCUUUCACCCUCUAAGCCAAGAUAAUAGGAAAGCUAAAACGAAGGGCUUCAGGCUCAGGAAGAUCAGAGGCAGCAGUGCUGGAGCUGGCUCUGUAAAUUUUACUGACUGUUAGAUUUUCCGAAAAUUUGUGAGCUGGUUGAUGGGUUUGUAGCUGGAAGUCAGUCAUAGGUAGAGGGAAAAUUUACAACACAGAAAUCAGCUAAUGCCAAACCUCAGGACUCCUCCCCACCUUGACAGCAGGUGGGGGACGCUCGCCGCCGCUUCUGUGGGCCCCGCAGGACACUCGGCACUUCUGAGCAAGGAGGAAAAUGAUGUGCGAUGAUGGAAUUUGAAUGGGCAGCCGUUGGUGGAUGUUUGAGAACGCUUCCCUCGAGAAGCCUCACCGCGGAGCAUCCUUCAAUCAACCUCAGCCCGUGCUCACUUACCACCCUGACACCCCCAUUUCCGAGUCCACAUGGCACCUCCUGGAUGCCACGAAUGUUCCCGGGCAGUGCUGUGCCAGCACCUAUGAGAGCCUGGCCCGUGUUUGCUGGUGAUGUCCUGAAAGAGGCCCAGGUCCUCCAGGAACACGCAGGGCUGCAUAAAGCACACCUCCUCACAUUGUCUUAGAGACGAUGGGCUUUCUAAGUGUAAAGCACUCUGCAAACACACACGUCACCUCCUCACCUUCUCCGGCUGAGCACCUGCACCCCCUGGUCUCACCAAGUCCCGCCCCUCACUUCUACCCAAGCUCCACUCCAGGGAGAGGCACCUUCGGCCCACAGAGAGUGUUUCGUAAAUUAUUCAUCCAACAAACGUUUGGCUGUCUCUUCCAUGCCAGGC
rnacentral:lncRNA from 1 species